rnacentral:rRNA from 1 species
GUGUCAGCCGCCGCGGUAAUACGGAGGGUGCGAGCGUUAAUCGGAAUUACUGGGCGUAAAGGGUGCGUAGGUGGUUUGAUAAGUUGGCUGUGAAAUACCGGGGCUUAACCUUGGGGCGUCAGCCAAGACUGUCAGGCUUGAGUAUAGGAGAGGGCAGUGGAAUUUCCGGUGUAGCGGUGAAAUGCGUAGAGAUCGGAAGGAACACCAGUGGCGAAGGCGUCUGCCUGGCCUAAUACUGACACUGAGGCACGAAAGCGUGGGUAGCAAACAGGAUUAGAUACCCUGGUAGUCCACGCUGUAAACGAUGUCAACUAGCUGUUGGGGACAUAAAGGUUCUUAGUGGCGCAGCUAACGCGAUAAGUUGACCGCCUGGGGAGUACGGUCGCAAGAUUAAAACUUAAAUGAAUUGACGGGG